CAAAAACAUGUCCUUUUGUUUAUUAAUUUAAGGUUUAACCUGCCCAAUGAGGAAUUCAAUGGCCGCAGUAUUUUAACUGUGCUAAGGUAGCAUAAUCAUUUGUCUUUUAAUUGAGGGCUGGAAUGAAGGGUUGGACGAGGCAUUAGCUUUCUUUGAUUUAAUUUAGGAAUUUAAUUUUUGAGUUAAAAAGCUUAAAUUUAUUUAUGGGACGAGAAGACCCUAUAGAUCUUUAUAGUUUUAUGUUUUAAUAAUUUAGGAGUUUAUAUAUUUUAAGCAGAUGAAUUAUUUUGUUGGGGUGACUGUAGAAUUUAAAUAACUUCUAUUUUCUAUUUUCAUUAAUUAAUGUUUUUUUGAUCCAUAAUUUAUGAUUAGAAGAAUAAGUUACCUUAGGGAUAACAGCGUAAUUUCCUCGGAGAGUUCAUAUUGAUGAGGGAGUUUGCGACCUCGAUGUUGGAUUAAAAUAAGUUGUGGAUGCAGGAGUCUAUUUACUAGGUCUGUUCGACCUUUGAAUUUUUACAUGAUCUGAGUUC
rnacentral:rRNA from 1 species